AUGAACGCUGGCGGCGUGCCUAAUACAUGCAAGUCGAGCGAACAGACGAGGAGCUUGCUCCUCUGACGUUAGCGGCGGACGGGUGAGUAACACGUGGAUAACCUACCUAUAAGACUGGGAUAACUUCGGGAAACCGGAGCUAAUACCGGAUAAUAUAUUGAACCUCAUGGUUCAAUAGUGAAAGACGGUUUUGCUGUCACUUAUAGAUGGAUCCGCGCCGCAUUAGCUAGUUGGUAAGGUAACGGCUUACCAAGGCAACGAUGCGUAGCCGACCUGAGAGGGUGAUCGGCCACACUGGAACUGAGACACGGUCCAGACUCCUACGGGAGGCAGCAGUAGGGAAUCUUCCGCAAUGGGCGAAAGCCUGACGGAGCAACGCCGCGUGAGUGAUGAAGGUCUUCGGAUCGUAAAACUCUGUUAUUAGGGAAGAACAAAUGUGUAAGUAACUAUGCACGUCUUGACGGUACCUAAUCAGAAAGCCACGGCUAACUACGUG
rnacentral:rRNA from 1 species